rnacentral:tRNA from 1 species
GCGAGAGUGGUGGAAUUGGCAGACACGCCAGACUUAGGAUCUGGUGCCAUAGGCUUAAGGGUUCAAGUCCCUUCUCUCGCA